GGAUGAACGUUGGCGGCGUGCCUAAUACAUGCAAGUCGAACGAAGACUGUAGUAAUACUGUCUUAGUGGCGAACGGGUGAGUAACGCGUGGGUGACCUGCCCCGAAGUGUGGGAUAACAGUCCGAAAGGAUUGCUAAUACUGCAUAAUAUCCAAGAGAUUAGAUGCUUUUGGAUUAAAGGAGUAAUUCGCUUCGGGAGGGGCCCGCGUCCCAUCAGCUAGUUGGUAAGGUAAUGGCUUACCAAGGCGAUGACGGGUAGGGGACCUGAGAGGGUGGCCCCCCACAAUGGAACUGAAACACGGUCCAUACACCUACGGGUGGCAGCAGUAGGGAAUAUUAGUAAUGGGCGAAAGCCUGAACUAGCAACGCCGCGUGUGCGAAGAAGGCCUUCGGGUCGUAAAGCACUUUUUGAGAGGAUGAGGAAGGACGGUACUCUCAGAAUAAGUCUCGGCUAACUACGUGCCAGCAGCCGCGGUAACACGUAGGAGGCAAACGUUAUCCGGAUUUACUGGGCGUAAAGCGCGUGUAGGUGGUUUGGUAAGUAGGGCGUGAAAGCUCCUGGCUCAACUGGGAGAGGACGUUCUAAACUGCCAAGCUUGAGGAUGGUAGAGGGAGGUGGAAUUCCGGGUGUAGCGGUGGAAUGCGCAGAUAUCCGGAGGAACACCAGUGGCGAAGGCGGCCUCCUGGACCACUCCUGACACUCAGACGCGAAAGCUAGGGUAGCAAACGGGAUUAGAGACCCCGGUAGUCCUAGCCCUAAACGAUGUAGACUUGGCGUCGGUGGUUUAAUCGCCAUCGGUGUCGUAGCUAACGCGAUAAGUCUACCGCCUGGGGACUACGGCCGCAAGGUUAAAACUCAAAGGAAUUGACGGGUCCCCGCACAAGCAGCGGAGCGUGUGGUUUAAUUCGAUGCUACACGAAGAACCUUACCUGGGUUUGACAUAGAGGUAGUAGGGAAGCGAGAGCGGACCGACCCUUCGGGGAGCCUCUACAGGUGUUGCAUGGCUGUCGUCAGCUCGUGUCGUGAGAUGUUGGGUUAAGUCCCGCAACGAGCGCAACCCCUGCUUUCAGUUACCAUCAUUAAGUUGGGGACUCUGGAAGGACCGCUGCGGUAACAACGCAGAGGAAGAUGGGGACGAGGUCAAGUCAUCAUGGUCCUUAUGACCGGGGCUACACACGUGCUACAAUGGUAGUUACAGAGGGGAGCGAAGCAGUGAUGUGGAGCGAAUCUCAGAAAAGCUACCCAAGUUCGGAUUGAGGUCUGCAACUCGACCUCAUGAAGCCGGAAUCGCUAGUAAUCGCGCAACAUCAUGGUGCGGUGAAUACGUUCCCGGGCCU
rnacentral:rRNA from 1 species